GAGGGGGUAUCUGAAAACCCGUAAAAAGAGUAGGAA
ncrna:unclassified sequences DTF805b RNA